AACCAACGAGCAGAUGGAAGGAAACUGCUUCGCCAAAAUGCAAAACCACAAUACAUUCGAAUGAAGUGGAGAGUAUAGAAUCUUAUGUGGAGAUGACGGCAUAUACCACAGCGAGCAAUGUGAAAGAAUCACAGCAUUGCACAAACAUGGCAAGAAUCACUGCAUCAAACUGUAAAACGUAUGAUGAAAAAUAUGUUACUAAAUUGAGGAAAACGUUGAAGAAGGUGGUGCAACGAAACAAAAUUCUGAAAAGAAAAUUGCGAGAAAAAAAUGUAAAAUUAAAAAAGAUCUUCAAUGACGACCAAUAUUGGUUUCUCGCACAUAUUGUAAUACGCAGAGAGAAGUAGGAUCAUGAUCUUCGAACACAAUAAACAAGGCAUUAAGACUCUAUAUGGCCGGCGGAUAAAAAGUUUAUGACGAGCUACGUCGACAGAACUUACCAUAUCCAAGCAUUCGCACAUUGCAACAUCGUUUGCAGGGCUUCAAAUUUAAGCCUGGUAUCAUGGGCGAUGUAUACAAUAUGUUACAAACUAAAUGGACGAAAUGUCCAUCAAACCGGGGCUACAAUACAACUCCAUAGCAGCAGUCAUUGGUCUACCAACAAUGAAGCUAUCGAAUGGAGCGGAUAAUACUGAAUUUUCAGCUACCCAUAGCCUUGUUUAUAUGCUAUGCGGCGUUUCUUCGAAAUGGAAGCAAACAGUAGGUUAUGAAUAUACAGGCAAUUCAUUUUGUCCGCGACAAAUAAUGAGUAACAUUAUGACAAUUAUUCAAAAGUCACACGAAAUCGGACUAAGUACCCACACAGCACAUGUAGAUACUGAGAAAGUUCUUAGAAUAUCUCAACAGUACAUUACGUAUAUUCUCAUAGCUUUCGAAUAUGUUCUAUGAUGUACUGAGUACGUACUGAGAAUGCACUAAUGUCCGCUUUUUCUCAUACAUAGUAUGUGCUGAAAAUAUACCAAUGGUAUAUACUGAGGAUAUUCUGUUGAUAUACCAGAAUAUCAACAGAAUGUUAUUUGUAAUAUGUAUCGUAUAUCGUAGGUAUAUACCCGAGCAGAAAUUUUAGUAGGAUCCUGAUAGGGGCCUAAUAAAGAUGCCUUAAUGCCUGGUCAGGCACUCAUCAGGCAGC